AUGUUGGGUUUUCUGACUCAGGGGUCUUCUGCCAACAAAUUUCUGACUCAGACUGACAAAUCCAAGUCUGUCAGUCUUGGAGGGACGAUGACCAUCAGCGCCACAGGGAGUUCAGACAUUGGUGAUGAUCUCAGUUGGUACCUUCAGAAACCUGGACAAGCUCCCAAACUUCUUAUAUACGAUGUAGACACUCACUUCCCAGGAACUCCGUCUCGAUUCAGUGGCAGUAGAUCUGGUUCUCACUACACUCUGACCAUCAGUGGUGUUCAGGCUUAA